GCACUUAAGAAAACAAGGCACCAAGAUCAAUAUCUGACAGGAACAAAUAAACAACAAAACAGACCUGCAGAGACUGUGUAUAUUGGGAUUAUCUAAAAAUGUUAUAAAACUUGUAUGUUGACUAUGUUUAAAAUAAAAGAUGACUUCUGAUGCAGGCUAAAUUGGAGUAACAGGGAACAGAUUUACCCUUCCGCCUGAAACAACAACAACAAAAAAACCCCUGACAAAAUAGCAGAAAUAACAGUUUUCAAAACGUUGUAUAUUAAGUAGUGAAGAAUAGUGAUCCUGAAAGAUUGGAAACUAACAAGAUGAGCGCUGUGAUUGCUUUGGCUUCCUACGUGGAAAGCAUUUCUAGGCCAUGGAGAAGGGGUGCAAAACUGAGCCUUGACUGUGCCCCAGAGUUGAGAAGAUAUAGCCAGGAUUCCAAGGAGACAGAGUGGUCAAAGUUUGCAGGUAGGAGAGGAGAACGAUAUGCAGAGAUGUGCAGAGGAUCCCAGCAAAUAGGUGACUUCUGAUUGGUGCAUGCAUGUGAGGAAUCUGCUGAGGUUGGGGAAAGAACCAGCCAAACCCAUUAGAGAGGAAAAAAAAAUUCUCUGAGCUCCUGCAGGGCUAGGAAUGGUUACUGUUCCCAUCAUUAAGAGUGGAAAAUUUCACAAUUUCCAAGGCACUGUGAAGAGUUAGAAGCAUUAGAAGUCAUUAGAAGCAUUAAAAGGAUUUUACCUCAGAAUGGGGCAAAAUUAGCCCUAACUAAACUGCUCUGGGCCCAACUAAAAUAACUACCACUACCACCACCACCACAACAAAACAAACAGUAAGAUGUGAAAGGAUCUGUUUCCAAAUGACUGUAUCCCAAAAUAAAUCUAAAGAAAAUUACAGGAAACAAAAAUGUACAGCAAUCAAUAAAAUAAAGAUCACAAUGUCUGGCAUACAAUGAAAAAUUGCCAAGCAUGAAAAGAAUUAGGGAAAAGGCCAAUAAUGAUGAGAGAAAUCAAUCAUUUGAAACCAACUCAGAAGUGAUACCUAUGAUAGAAUUAGUAGACAAGGACUUCAGAACGGUAGUUAUUUUUGUAUUCCAUAUACUCAAGAACCUAGGAGAAAUAUUGAACAUGUUAAGCAGAUAUGGAAGAUAUAAAGGAGAUCCAAAUUAAACUUCUAGAGAUGAAAGCUGUAACAUCUGAGAUGAAAAAUACACAGGGUAGGAUUAAUGGCGUGUUAGAACUUGCAGAAAAGAUUAGUGAACCUGAAGGCAUAACAAUAGAAACUAUCCAAAAUGAAACACCAAGAGAAAAUAAAAAAAUAGGAACAGAAUAUUAGUGAUCUAAUAGGACAACUUGAAUAGGCUGAUAUGCAUAUGAAGUCUCUGUAAGAUGGAGGGCGAGAGGGUCAGUAAAAGCAUUUGGAGAAAUAAUGAAUAAAAGUGUCUCAAACUUGUUAAAAAGUAAACUGUCAAAAAAAAAAAAAAA